rnacentral:misc_RNA from 1 species
AAGUCGUAACAAGGUUUCCGUAGGUGAACCUGCGGAAGGAUCAUUAAUGAAACUUCAAAGUCGGCUUUGUUCCUCUGUGCUGGUGGGAGACCACAUGUGCACGUCGAACAAGGUCGCAAAUCCACACACCUGUGCAUCUAUGACUCUGAGUGCCGCCUUGCAUGGCCCCUUAUCGGGCCUGGUACUCGAGUAACUUUACACACUCUGAAUGUAAUGGAAUGUCUAUUGUGCAUAAUGUACAACUAAAACAACUUUCAACAACGGAUCUCUUGGCUCUC